GACCUCCACUCUAUCUCUCUCAAUCUAGUAGAAACUAGAAGAUCUAUUUCUACUUUACAUUGGUUGCUAAGCCUAAAAAGAAAUAUUAUUUAGAGAAGAGGUUUUCCUUCGAGGGCACCCCUCAAUCUCUAUGAUAAUUUCUUAUCUCCUCCAGGGGCCAGAGGGGGUCUCCUUAUAUAGUCCUCCCCUUCUAUGCGUUUUUGGGUCGAUAGGCGAGGUGGUACUAUGUUAUUCUGGAUCCAAUAGGUCGGUGGAACGUCGUGUGCGAAGAGAGUCCGGAACGGAGUCCAGAGGGGGGAGGGCGCCCAGGUCCUUCCCGUGGCUUCUGGAGUCUUCUAGAUGGUAGAAAAUUGCGCGGUGGGUUGAUAUCUCUAUGUAAUCCCGACAUGUCGGCCUUUCUUCCUUAUUUCCUGAUAACCCCCUGCAGAAAUAGACAAACACCAAAACUCGUGGAAUUCUGUCAGAUAAAACCCUAAGUCUAGAUGUUGAUUUCAUUUGGAUCCUUUUCUUUGUUUAUUUGAUAAUUAAAUUUGAUACUUAAGGACCGUCAACAAACUCCCCCAAGCUUACCUCUUGCUCGUCCAUGAGCAAGGAUGAACUCAAGAGUUUCUGCAGUGGUUUCAUUUCUUAGAAGUACACACGCAUUUAAGCAAGAUCUCAUCUCUGAGUUAGAAUAAACUGUUAAGACUUAAAACUUACUUAGUUUACCUACACCAUAGGACUUGUAACCGUCACUUCUGUCUUGAGUGGUUAAAAGGUAGAACAGUCUAGCCAAGUGCCAAGUCUCUUAUUCUUGAUCAGCUACAGCUCUGGGGUUUUUGCAGAUUUUCAAAUAAAACUCAGAAAUUCCUUGUAUGAUUCUCUCAGGUCUCUCUUUUGUGGUAUUUUUGGAUCCUUACCAAGACAGUGAUGGUAUAUGCCUUCUCUCAAAAUAUGUAGUAUUUGUGGUAUGAAGCAUAGUGUCAUUGUCUUCUCUCUCACCCUACUCUAAUAAGGCUUUAAUAUCUGGAGCUCAUAGGUGGGAGAUAAAGUAUACAUACUUACAAGACAUUUAUUGCAUAGUCAAACCAUGGAUGCAAAGAAACAAAUCAAUAAGCCAAAUCAAGAUGUGCAUGUGUGGGGAAUGAAUGGUGUAUGGUGAUAAUGGUGAUAACAAUGGUGGUGGAAGUCUAAUUCUACUUUGCUCUUUGAGGGGAUACACACCUUCCUUGCUUUUGAAACUUUAUGAGGAGAAUGAGAUGCUCUUCUUUUUCUUUUCUUUCGAGGUUCCGAGCACUUGCUCCUUUUUAUUUCCUCGUAUCUUUUAUUUUCUUUUUCUCUUUUUUUUUCAGAGCAUUCAUCUCUUGAGAUAAUAUAGCAAGUGGUAGUAACAAGAUAACUUGAGCAUUUAUUUCACAAGGGGAAACAGAAAUAUUUUUGGUUAUUCUCUCCCGGAUUAGGAGUAGAAUACUUUUGGGUGGUUUUGGAGAUGGAAAUGAGUGGAUAUAUGUGGAUGGUACUUCUGGAGUAGAAGUAGCAUGUGUGAGUGAACGUGCAAGUGAAUCUUGAUUUAACCACAUGACAAGCUCCUAAGGGUCUACACAGCUUGACCACACUCAAUGCUCAUAAGCAGUAAAUAGUAAAUGUGUGGCUCAAGGUCUAGCAAGCAUGUAUAUAUGGCUAUGGUAGGAAUUUAAACUCUCAUCAUAAAGGAACUCAUCAUGCAACAUUUUAAAGAUUUUCAAAGAUAAAAUUCUCCAGAAUUCUAGCAUCUCUAGGAACAGAUAAACAGCAGCUCAACCUUCCCAUAUCGUAUCCGUUAACAACUUAGACUUCAGAUCAAGUUUUCAUCCCACAAGUUUUGGUCUAGAGCAAGCCUUAAAUUAUAACAGUUAUAUCUAAACUUGAGAGAGAACUUCAAAUUUGCAAAUUAGGCAGAGCAACUAUUCAUCAUAUCCAUGCUUAAGUUUUAUUAGAUAUAGAUUAGCAUAGCCACUUUAUUUAUUUAUUAAACAUACUAAGCAAAAUAUAUAUAAGCAUAAAAUCUUUAUUUGGUUUUUUAUAGUUAUGUGUAUUUAUAUUCUAAUAUAGUAUAAGUAUAAAGAUAGAUAGAAAUACUUAUCGAGAUAAAUGGGGGUGCUCUCCCCCAAGCUGGAUUUUCACGUAAUUUCUCUUGAUGUAGCUAGCAGGUGGCAGAGGUGUGUUUGAAAGUCAGCAGUAUUUUGACAGCGAUUAGAAUGUCCUCCGUCUGCUAGUCUUCUUGAUUCUUAAAUUCUGUGGAGCUCAAAUAGACAACAAAGCUUGUGGAACUGAUUAAGUGUUAGCAUAAAUAUCUAGCCUUUAUCAUGUUGAGACUCCUUAAUAAAUAUUACUCCCUAUUUUUAUAUUUUUGUUUUUAUAAAGCAGAAAAAUAUUUAUUUUAUUUUUAUGCCACCACAGUGAAUGUACUUAUGGGUUUUAUGCCACUCGUCUACUCACAUGGGGCUUACAGUUUUUUUCACAUUUUUAUUUUCUUUCUAGGAUGAUACGAACAUGAUUAACUAAGUAAACUAUUUGAAAUAAUUAAAAGGGAAAGGAUAACUACCAAGUUUACCUCUUGACAAGGCGUUCGGUGUUUUUAAGUCCUCCGAGCGGGACUCUCCAUUUUCUUAAUCGUCCUGAGGUUCGUUGGGUGGCGUAGUCGGUACUUCCGGCAGCGCCUCCUCUUCAUUUAUAACUAUCUUCUCUCUCCACACCUAACUCGGUGCUACGGUCUCCUCAGGACAAUGUUCAAGUGGUAUGUCUUCAGUCCUUAUCACUUCUCCUUCAUAGUCUACCCAUCCGUCCUUGAUGAUUUGCCUCCUCUGGUUGCGGUUGCGAUGUCUUCUUCUUGUCCUGACCUGCUUAGAGUCUUCAACUAUAUAGUUAGGGUCAGUAAAACAGCGGCAUACCUUCUCAGAGGAGAAGUGUAUGUGGACUUCUCCGGUUCCAAUAUAGAUGAUGGCUUUGAUAGUGCUGAGGAACUGUCUUCCAAGGUUGGUGGGUGGAUCAUACUCGUCUUCUCCCAUGUCAAUGACCUGAAAAUCAUCUAUAGCUGAAUGUAUAUUGGUUGUAGGGGCAUGGUUUCAUGCAGGAGCUGAUAAGUGACUACGACCAUUAUGUUGACGUCAGAUCCGGUGUCGUAGAGUGUCUUCUGAAAAGAGUAUCUGUUGAUUGUGUACUCAAUGCUUAGAACACCAGGGUCGUCCUUCUUGAACUGCAGUGACCAUCUUAGCUGACUCGGUCCACAUUUGCUUGUUCCUGUUCCUCCUGUUGGUCAUCUUCCUUGGUUCAUGUCGGGGUUGCUCUGAAGUUUGUGUAGUCUUGUUCUUGAAGGAAAGUCUCCUUCCUCCCCUUGAUGUAGAGACUGAUCUUGGCAGCAUUAACGUAGAUGACAGCUCUGGUGUUUAGGAAUGGCCUCCCUAAGAUGAUGGGUGCCCUCUCCUCAGUACCAGUCUCUAUCACCACGAAGUCUGCUAGAGCGUACAAGGUACCAACUCGGAUGCAGAGGUUCUUCAAUAUUUUCUUUGGGAAACUGAGUGUCCGAUCUGCAACCCUGGGCAUAAUGUUGACGCUGGAGCCAAAGUCGCAGAGUGCUUCUGGGAAGUCCACCAUGCCGAUGGAGAUCAGGAUGACGGGGCGUCCUAGAUCACCUCUCUGAGUAAUUAGGCCUCUAUUGAUUCCAACCUUGAUGUUGUUGAGGACGGUUGUAGUAAUAGUUGUUAUUGUUGUUGAUGUAGUUCACGUCCUCAAGCAUCUUAGGGCAGUGAUUGCCUGAGCGUCCAGUAUCUCCAGUGUGUUUGUGCUCGUAGAUCCUAGUUCUUCACUUGGUGGAAUCUGGGAGUUGUAAAACUCCUUCAUAUUAUGCUCGAAGUGUUCCUGCUCAUAGAGACAAGGUAGAGAUCAAGUGCAUGGGCCCUGUUGGUGGAAAACACCAACAGAACUAAAAGUGUAUUUGUUCUUCUCUAACCUUAAGCAUAGUGAGCAAGACAAAGUUGAUGGAUCAUGAGUGUAGCAUUUGUCAGAUCAGAUGGCUCAACCUAAUGGAAAGAUAAUCUAUCUAUAUUUAUGUUUUGUUUAUAUCUUCCAAAGAUUGCAUGUGCAAUACUUUAGCUUAUAUGAUUAGGAGUGUGGGGUCACGAAGGUAGUACUAAGAACAAAGAUUAAAGGACUAAACAUGUUGAAUUAAUUGAGUUGGUUAAUUUGGAGUUAUAAAUCAUACAUGUUUGUCUCUUUAUUUAUGUGAAUGCUAGAACCAAGGAGGAGCUUAUAAAAGUGUUAGUCAAGUACCUUAAGAUGUUACCUUACUUGAAGAGUAAUGGUACAGUAUCACCUUGUGGAAGCUUUCCUUUCUUAGCGGUUGUGCAUCGUGUUUGUGGCACCCUCCAUGAAUCAUCUCUUAUGAGCUACGUCUUUCUUGUGCAAAUUAUUAAACUUCAUGUGUCACUUUCUUCAUCUCUAAUGAGUUUGCAUCUCAGGACUUCCCAGGUUGAUAUUGAAAGUUUUCCUACAGGGGUUAGUCCAACAAAAUAUACCAAUAUCUACUCAAGUAGUUUUUAGUUCAGUAACCAAACUAGACUCCAUGUCUAAUCAGAUUAAGGAAGGCUAUUUAACCUAAGCACCACGCUUAAUUUAAAUGCCAUUGGAAGUGUGACCAGUACUUCCAAACUAACACUUACUAGGAUAAACAAAGGUAGCAUGAUAGCUUUUAUAGAGAUCUACUCAAAUGGAGAUGAAGUAGUGUGAUUAGUAUUUAACAAAUUGAGCAUGUCUCAAAGGUAAGGACAACCAACAUAGCAACAUGGCAAAGGAUGUUUUAUGUAAAGUACUCCCCCAAGCUUGAAUUUUGCAAAAUUCAAGGUUGAAUGAAUUUAAUUUAAUGCUGCAUGAUGAUUGGUUGGGCAUACCUUGCGCUUGUCAUUCAUCCGAUCUUCUUACUCCAAUCCUAGAAAGGUUAGUGGCAAGAAUACCCAAAGGAAUAUUUCUACAAUUAUCUUUAUAUGCUCAAUACACAAGGCAAUGUUGCAAAUAAUUAGAAGUGCUUGUUUUAGGACACUAAGCCUGUCCUUGGGAAACCAUCAAUUAACUCAACGAGAUCUACAAUAUUUAUUAUAGACAUAUGCAUCGACAACCGCCCUUUUAAAGUUUUUAUAAAUAGAAAAGAAGAGGGGGUUGGAGAUCUCAAAUGUGGUAAGGAUGGAGAGACAAAUUGAUUGGAGAGAUGUUUUAUAUGAGCAAGGACUGGGUGAGGUAUUUAUGAAAUAACUUCCAUGCUCACUGUUGUUUCUCUCAUUCUCAAACUCCAAGGUUGAUUCUUCAUGAAUGUUUAAAAUUCCUCUAGGAUUGUCUCUCAAGUUUGUUUUAUCUAUCCAUUCAAUGGUGAUAGCACAUGGAUUUUUAAUGCCCUCUAGCCAUUGAUGUUGCUCUUCUCGAUCCUCCUUCUUAUGCAUGGGAUGUCUAGAGAGAUUCAUAGGAUUAUUGGGAGGUUCAAGAGAAAGAGCAUAGUAGAAUUUAUUAAGCUUAAGGAUGGGGUGGAUAGCCAAAUCAUGGGAUUGAAAUGUUUGGAAAUCAGCUAUUGAAACUUCCUCUCCUUGUAUGGGAGAUGAUUCCUUCUCUAUCUCUAAGAUUUUUCUAUGAAGACUAGUACAAGAAGGAUGUCCACAAAUGAAGACAUACCUUCCUUUACUAAUAGAUAAAGAAAGAAAGACUCUACCAAAGGUUAUAUUGUUAAGACGAAUGUGAAAAUAUUUAGGAAAAACAUGGUCUUGUAGGGCUAGGUCUAAACCAGAAUUUAUAGAAAGAUUAAAAGAUUCCCUAGGUGUAGCUAAAAGUGCAUUAUCUUCUUGAUUAAAAGAUAGGACCUCGGCUAUAGAAAAGGGUUGGUUUUGACCUAUUGCAAUCAACUCCGGACACAGAUCAUAAUUAGGGGCAGAACGUGUUGACUCCCAUGGUCUAUGGCUGGUCUCCGAAGGUGCAAAGAAUUUAAUAAUAGGUAUGGAAUUUGAGUUAUCCAUAAAGAUAAAAAUAAAAAGAUAAAAGAAUAAAAGUAUAAAAGUAUAAUACAAGAUAAUAGCAAGACUCAAAGUUAUCUCAGCAAACCGUCUUUCUCCCCAGCAACGGCGCCAGAAAUGCUUGUUGAUAUUUGGUAACGCAAUUAGAAAAUGAUCCGCAAGCGCACGGAUAUCGGUGAGCAUUUCACCCGGGAGGUUAUCCAGAGUUAUCGUAUUUAUAUUUUUACCACUGGGAGAAAUGGUGCAUCUGACUAACCAAAUAUAUUGCUACUAUCCCUUUAGGCUACAAAGAAUGUCUCUCGAUGUGAGUGAUGUAUAGAGAAGACUGCAACCUUAGUCUCGUUCUAACCUUGGUAAGGAUGAUCUAUUGUUCUAUUGGGGAGGCUCACGGAAUCUAGACAACACAAAGGAUGUUCGACCCGCACCUAUAAACCUACCCGUCGUGCUAACGAGAUGUGAUCUGCAAAGGUAACUCGGAAAUGUCACGUUCCUCGCUACUACCACGGUCCAGCUAGUCAGGGGAUAUCUAUGAGUACCCUAGCCUAAACACCACGUUUACGCUAACAAGUGAUUACUCUAAUACUCAACCGGAAGAGGAUUAAAGUAAACUCAUAAACCAAAGAACAAUAAAACAAGAACUUACUAGUAUUAGAAGUCGAAUUACUGAAGAAUCUUAGAAGCAAGCCUCGGGUUAGGAGACUUGAUCCCGCAGGUACAACUCGGAGUAGACACCGACAGGCCGGCCUUCCUCCGAUCCACACCUCCACUCUAUCUCUCUCAAUCUAGUAGAAACUAGAAGAUCUAUUUCUACUUUACAUUGGUUGCUAAGCCUAAAAAGAAAUAUUAUUUAGAGAAGAGGUUUUCCUUCGAGGGCACCCCUCAAUCUCUAUGAUAAUUUCUUGUCUCCUCCAGGGGCCAGAGGGGGUCUCCUUAUAUAGUCCUCCCCUUCUAUGCGUUUUUGGGUCGAUAGGCGAGGUGGUACUAUGUUAUUCUGGAUCCAAUAGGUCGGUGGAACGUCGUGUGCGAAGAGAGUCCGGAACAGAGUCCAGAGGGGGGCGGGCGCCCAGGUCCUCAGGGCGGGCGCCCUGGGCCUGGCCCCUUUAGGGCUCCGCUUCCUUCCCGUGGCUUCUGGAGUCUUCUAGAUGGUAGAAAAUUGCGCGGUGGGUUGAUAUCUCUAUGUAAUCCCGACAUGUGGGCCUUUCUUCCUUAUUUCCUGAUAACCCCCUGCAGAAAUAGACAAACACCAAAACUCGUGGAAUUCUGUCAGAUAAAACCCUAAGUCUAGAUGUUGAUUUCAUUUGGAUCCUUUUCUUUGUUUAUUUGAUAAUUAAAUUUGAUACUUAAGGACCGUCAACAUACGUGUGCACACGUGUUGCUUUAACUUCUGAGUUUACGUAGAUUUGAUGCAAGCACUAGUGUUAACCCGACAAGAACUGCAGCGGCACGGCAUGCACAAGCUCACGAAGGUGAAGAACCCUAUUUUUUUGCCGUAAUUGUUGCCAUACUUUGUGCACUAGCAGAUGUUCUUUUUGAAGUUAAUUGUUACGUUCCUGAAACCAUUCAUGGAUUAGUAGUUCAAAUAAAAUGCAUAACACUCCAUUUAGUUGAUGUUAUUUUGGUCUUGCUCUGAAUUUCUUUUGUGUUAGUGCUUCAAUCACUAGUACAUUGGCACACUAUACAGGCGGUUGGUAACAUAUUUCUACAGGCGUUUUCCAGAUCCGCCUGCGCUGGAGCCCAGUUCAAAUCGCACAUUUACACACGCUUUCCUAAGAGAGCCGCCUGUGUAAACCUAUUAAAAUAUGUAUUAUUUAUUUAAUUAUUUAUUUUUUAAUUUAUCUAUUUAUUUAUUUAUUAUUUUAUUGUUAUUAUUUAAAUAUAUUGAUAUUGGUUGGUCUUCUAACAUAGCAACAUGUAAUUUAAAUACUUCAUCUCAUACAUACAUUUGUAUACAUCAAAGUUUGGUGCUCAAAGACAUAAAGUUAAUUACAAGAGUAUAUCCAUCAUCACACAUCAUAUAUAUAUACAUCAAAGUUUGUUUCUGUCCCCUAAUAACCCUCUUUAGUAAGUUUGAGCUUACUAAUCUCUGUUAGCACUCGGAACUCUGGCCUUGAUAAUUGGCUUUCAUCAUCAUGAUAUUUGCCUUCACGUGGAAUGACAUGCUUCAUGAUGAACGAGCAGAUGUCCUCAACUAUGUUGUCUAAAGCACGUUCGUCCAUGUGCUCCGCCGUCCCUUGCUUAUGUACCUGCAAAGAAAGUUUAUAAACAUUAUAUAUUUUAUGACUUCCAACUUUAAUAGACUAUUACUUAUAUUACCUUGUCAGGGUUCCUUGCAUAUCGUCCGUUUUCUCUCAUGUUCUCGCACACGUAGUAGCCACAGAGGACAGAUAACGGUGGUUGCUUCAUGCACUGUAUAAUACAGGAGAGUGGUUAUUUAAUUAUAGUUGCAACUGUGGUCGUAUGUGUAUGAUUUGUAUUCAUAAUAGUAAAUUUUUAUACGUACCGGCUAGUUAUGUAUAACCUCGAAUGGUUUCCCUGGUCUCUUGGACUCGCACUUUCCAUGAUUUAUCUUAUAGAACCUGUAUGCCCUAUGAUCUCAAAUAGAAUCACCAUGUUAUUGUCAAAUUCUCACUAUGCUUAAGUAUGCAUGCAUAACUUGACUUACAACUCUAGCAGUUUGAUGAAUGGAGCAUAGCUUUCUUUCGCGUAAUCUGCGGAGUCUAGUACCAACACCCUUCCCUCCUUGGGAUAAAUGAUGAAGCAUAUCCAGUGCCUCCUGCUCGAAUUAAAUCCAUGAUGCAUUUAUGCAUUGAAAUAAUUUAGAUAGAUAUUUGUAAACUCACACUUACCCAAAGUAGUACGGGGCCACCACUGCUUUCCUGUCUUGAAACUUUAUUAGUGAAUGUCCAAUGUAGAAGGCGUAUUUUGCUUCAAAAUCAAGUUUCAACUUUCGGAGUUUCUCAUCCCGUUCUGCACCUUCCAAACCCUGUACCUCUUUGCUGUCAUUCCCAAUCCGGAAUGUGUGCCGAUCUUCGGCUAUAUCUAUUGGGCAGAGAUAGAGAUUCCUUUCUUCAGCACAAUAAUUUAGGUCCGAACCAAAAUACAUAUCUUGUUGAUCAUGUAACAUUCUGCAAGACAGAAGCAUGUCAGAUAUUGAAAAUUGAUGCAACUACAAUGUGUGUAACUAUGUAACACUUACAAUGCAAAUGCUGUUACGAUCUGUACAUCUAGCAUCUCGUGGUUCAUCAGUGCCCACAUGUCAUCAAAUGUAAGCAUGCAUUUGUUAGUACUCUGGCUGAGAAAUGCUAUUUGUGGUAUGCGCAUGCUUAUGGUGUCGAUGCCAGCAGAAGAGGCUCACAUGUACCAGUCAUGAAACCUUUUUAUACCACUUGGUUUCUUCAUAAGUUUGGUCCGACUGAGUAGAGGCUUUCCCCACACGUACUUUUUGGGGAUAGUCUUGUAGUCUUCUGCAGUUGGCACCUUGAAAUUGACAGGAGUUAUGACCUUAGGCGCCGGCACCUCUGACUUUGCUAGCUCAGAAAUCUCAUGCUCUUGUAUUGUGCGUUUCGAAGCAAUGCCUGACAAAAAUCUCACUUGCCCAGCUGAUUUUUUCUUUGGCUCGAAUGGUGAAAUCAACUUAGGUAUCGGAAAUACUUUCUUCUUUGGCACUUUUGGUGGCUCACUUAUUGGUUCUGGAUCUUUGAGUUGUGGGGAAGGGGUGGAAUUGAAUGGUGGUGGAGAUUGUGUUGACUGUGGGGUAGAAAGAUCAUGGAGAGGAGAUGGUUGAUGGACAGGGAAAACAUGGAGAGGUGAUUCUGGUGGGUCAGGAAGAGACUGGGGAGGUGAAGGCGGUGGGUUAGGAAGAGGAUCGACAUGAGCUGACGACUCUUGGGUUAGUGGCAUCUCUUGAGAGGGUGGUGGUGGCUCCCUUAGUUGCACGUCCCUCCGAGGCCAUAGGAUGAAAUUGUUUAUCGCCUGUCCCAGUUUCACAAUGUCCUCGGGACCAGGGAUGUCUAGAAUCUCAUCCUCAUAUCCUUGGACCACGGUUGGUACCUCUACUCUGUAGUAGUCUUUAGGGAUGUCAGCACUGUUGGGUAUUCUUAACAUCAUUACCAAAAGUAGACUAAGUUCUAAAUCUAGCAACGGUGCCAAAAAUGCCAAACCUAUCCCUCACACCACUUAAGCCAAGUUGUCAUCCCCAGCAUGACAUGAGAGACGCGGUAUUGAAAUAUGCAAUUGCUCUUCUAAAUAAAUAAUGAAUGGGAUCUGCAAGCGCACAGAUUAAUACCGAUGCAGCAUUUUAACCGGGAAGUAUUCCAGGUAUCGUUAUUUAUAUUUUUACCACUAGGAAGGGAUUAGCAAUCAUCAUUAUUGAUUACAGAAUAGAAUAUGAGAUUGAGCAUCUAUCAUUGCAUGUAUAAUUGAGAACAUUUAUCUAACUCUUCACACAGAGAUAAGUGUCACAUAAAAGAUAUAUGAAAUAAUAAUAGUGACAAGGAUAACUAAUUUGAUCUAGCCACAUAAUAAAUAUGAUAAGCACCUCAAUUAGAUACUCUAGAAAGUCAUUAGCAUGGUUUUAGAACGAACUACAAGAAUAUUCCCUAAGUUAUUCUUAACUAUAUAGUCUAGCAUUAUCAUAAUUAGUGCAAGCUGUUGACGGUCCUUAAGUAUCAAAUUUAACUAUCAAAUAAACAAAGAAAAGGAUCCAAAUGAAAUCAACAUCGAGACUUAGGGUUUUAUCUGAUAGAAUUCCACGAGUUUUGGUGUUUGUCUAUUUCUGCAGGGGGUUAUCAGGAAAUAAGGAAGAAAGGCCCACACGUCGGGAUUACAUAGAGAUAUCAACGUGCCGUGCAAUUAUCUUACAUCUAGAAGACUCCAGAAGCCACGGGAAGGAAGCGGAGACCGAACGGAGUCAGGGACAGGGUGCCCGCCCAAGUCCUUAGGGCGCCCGCCCACCUUUUUCGGCCAAUCACGCUCAAUCUCGCGGAUUAUGCUCCACCGACCUAAAGGAUCAAGAAUAACCGUUCAAUCAAUGUCGGUUUGAUCCGACGGCCCAGGUUCACUUGAGGGGACUAUAAAACCAGACCCCCUGGCCCCUGGAGGAGGCACCCCCCUGAUCAUUAUUCAUUAUUCAUAGACAGAGCAAAAGCUAGGGUUUAGAGAUGAGAGCUCUCCUCUCUUCUCUAAACUAGAGUAGAACUAGAUAGUAGCGAGAUGGAGAGCGAAGGAGGAUUAGAGGAGAGGCCGGCCUGUCGGUUCUUCCUCCGGUUGUACUUCGCCAUGAUCAAGCUCUAAUCAAGCUUGCUCAUGGGAUGACUCUGGUAAUCUACUUCUAAUUCAUUAUGCAAUUACUAAUCAUGUAUAUUCUGGUUCACAACUCUUUUGAGUACUUCUAAUCUAUAGGACCCUAUAGGUUAGAGUUGUAGUAUAGGUGUAAGCGUGGUGCUUAGACCUAGAUUACUUGUGGAUAUCCCCUGACUAGCUGGAUCGUUUGGUAGGCCGCGUAGGUGACAGUUACGUUGGUCCCCUGUAGUCCACCUCUCGUUAGCAGGACGGGUAGGGUUUAUCGGCCUAAGGAUAAGCAUCCUUUGUGGUGUACUCUUAUCACGUGGUUCGUCCCAGACAUAGACAUACCCCUUUGAAGUAGAGAAACCAUAGUUAUCCUCUCUAUUCUGCUACCAUCGCCCAUAUACUAGAAUUUCUCUAUUCUCUAUUCCCAUAUUAUCACUCACUGUUAUCUUACCUUUAAUAUUGUUCUUAUUUGAUUCUAUCAUCUUUCCUAUUUACACCUAUCUAUCUAUCUUGGUUAAGUUAGAGUGUAGUUGGUUCUCCCGUUUCCCUGUGGAUACGAUAAAACCUUUAACCGGGUAAAAGCUUCAACGGUAUCCGUGCGCUUGCGGAUUAUCUGUGUGCGUAUAAAUACCAUAGUACACUCUAGUGCCAUGCUAGGGAUGACAACCUAGUAUUCAAGUGGUGUUAGCAAGUGUCAACAAGCAUUUUUGGCGCCGUUGCCGGGGAAACGGUUGCUGAGUUGACUACGAACUAGUUUAAUCAUUUUAUAAAAAAUAAAUAAAUAAAAAUAUAUAUAUAUAUUUUCCUUUUAUCCUUUGCCUCAUCUCUGCUAUUCUUUCUUCUUAUCUAAUCCUUGAUCUCUGGUCUAUUAUGAAUUCAAACAUGUCUAUCUAUGAAUUUCAUAGACCUAUGGGCACACAUCUCGAACCACCAAAAUCUUCAAAGCCUAUCAUAGCAUCUAGUUUUGAGAUAGACCCCGAAUACAUAGAAUUUAUUCAAAAACAACCUUUCUCAGGAAAAGGUGAGGAAAACCCAUACACACACCUAAGAGAGUUUUAUCGAGUCUGUGACCUCCUUCACAUAGAAGGCAUGUCCGAUGAGACCCUUAAAUGGAAGCUCUUUCCGUUCUCUUUAACGGGAAAAGCUAGACAUUGGUAUAAACUCAAAGUAGGGAGUGUUCAUGGAGAUUGGAAGGAUUUAUAUAGUAGUUUUCUUUCUAAAUAUUUUCCAAUCUCCAAAGUGGUGGAACUUCGGCAUGAGAUUCUUUCUUUUAGACAACUGGAAGAAGAAUCUCUUGGCAAAUCAUGGGACCGCUUUAUUAACCUUACUCUCACUGGCCCAAAACUUUCUAUUCCAGAAGAAGUUCUUCUAAUUCACUUUUUUGAGGGCCUUAGUAAGGAAGAUAAGCAAACCCUUCAUGCGGCCUCUGGAGGAUCUUUCCACCACCUAUCCGCUAGUGAAGCUUGGAAUUUGAUUGAUUUAAUGAGUGGAAAGUCUCCUAGCUUUUAUAUCCCUGAGAAAGAGAAAGAACCAGUUCCUAGACAAGAAGAAGAAGUUUCGAUAGCCAGAUCACAACCACUUCAAUCCCAAACUUUAGCUAUCGAUCCUAAACCAUCAAUACCCCAAAAUUCUCCAAGGGAGGAAGGAAUUCCGGCCUUAAAUCUUUUAGAUGCUGAUGGUUUAGACAUCUGGUUCUAUAAGAGACCUUCAAGCAGGGAUAAUUCAAAUCAUUGCAAUAAUGUUUCUCUUAGAGAAUGUCCUGGUUCCUGUUAUAAAGAAGUCGAGGAUGACAUAUCAAGUGAAGGAGAGCUAAGCCAUAUUGAAAAUUCUAACACCUCCCCUUUUCUGAUCACAAGUUCUAAAUGGUUAGAAUGUGUAGAAUGGAUGGAUAAGGAAGAAGCCUUAAUGGAUUCUGACUUUGGCUCAAUUUCAAAUGGUGAGUUCUUGACUCCCUUUGAAGAUGAGAUUCAUCCAACUAUAGAAGAGGACAUAAGUGAGACCAAUCCAAGAGAAACUCUGAACAUUCAGAUUGGAGAUGAAGAUAACAUUAAUGAGCAUGGAAUUUAUUUCAUAGCCACUUUGUUUACUCCAUGCUCAUAUGCAACAUCUUCCCAAUCUAUUGGUCUCUCCGACAUCACCACACUUGAGAUCUCCAACCCCCUCUUCCUUUCUAUCUAUAAAAACUUUAAAAAGGCGGUUGUCGAUGCAUAUGUCUAUAAUAAAUAUUGCAGAUCUCGUUGAGUUGAUCUAGAUAUAGGUUGGCGUCGGAGGGGAAACCACUUCGCCAACAUAAACUGAUGGUUUCCCAAGGACAAGCUUAGUGUCUUAAAAUAAGCAUUGAUCAGAUCGUAACAUGAGCUUUUAAUUAUUUGCAACAUUACCUUGUGUAUUGAGCAUAUAAGGAUAAUUGUAAAAAAAAUAUUCCUUCGGGUAUUCUUGUCACUAACCUUUCUAGGAUUGGAGCAAGAAGAUCGGAUGAAUGACAAGCACAAGGUAUGUCCAACCAAUCAUCAUACAACAUUGAAUUAAAUUCAUCCAAACUUGAAUUUUGCAAAAUUCAAGCUUGGGGGAGUACUUUACAUAAAAACAUCCUUUGCCAUGUUGCUAUGCUGGUUGUCCCUACCUUUGAGACAUGCUCAAUUUGUUAAAUACUAAUCACACUACUUCAUCUCCACUUGAGUAAAUCUCUAUAAAUGCUGUCAUGCUACCUUUGUCUAUUUACUAGCAAGUGUUGGUUUGGAAGUACUCGCCAUACUUCCAUUGGCAUUUAAAUUAAGCAUGGUGCUUAGGUUGAAUAGCCUUCCUUAAUCAGAUUAGACAUGGAGUCUAGUUUGGUUAUUGAACUAAAAAAACUGCUUGAGUAGAUAUUGGUAUAUUUUGUCGGACUAACCCCUGCAGAAAAACUUUCGAUAUCGAUUUAGGAAGUCCUGAGAUAAACUUACAUCAGAGACGAAGAAAGUGACACAUGAAGUUUAACAAUUAGCACAAGAAGGACAUAGCUCAUUCAUCAUAGAGAGAUGAUCCAUGGAGGGUGCCACAAACACGAUGCACAACCGCUAAGAAUGGAAAGCUUCCACAAGAUGAUACUGUACCAUCACUCUUCAAGCAAGGUAACAUCUUAAGGUACUUGACUAUCACUUUUAUAAGCUUCUCCUUGGUUCUGGCGUUCAUAUAAAUAAAAGAGACAAACGUGUAUGAUUUACAACUCUAGAUUAACCAACCCAACUGAUUCAACAUGUUUAGUCCUUUAAUCCUUGUUCUUAGUACUACCUCCAUGAUCCCACACUCCUAAUCAUUUGAGCUAAAAUGUUACACAUUCAAUCAUUGAGAGAUAUAAAGAAAAAGAUAUGUACAUAAAUAGAUUAUCUUUCCAUAAGGUUGAGCGAUCUGAUCUGACAAAUGUUAUAAGUGCUACACUCAUGAACUUAUCAUCCAUCAACUUUGUCUUGCUCACUAUGCUUAAGGUUAGAGAAGAACAAAUACACUUUUGGUUCUGUUGGUGUUUUCCACCAACAGGGCCCAUGCACUUGAUCUCUGCCUUGUCUCUAUGAGCAGGUACACUACGAGCACAAACACACUGAGCAAGAUACUGCUAACACCGCACUUCGAACUGCUGGGCAAACGAAGAACAUGGGUGACACCGUAUUAAAAGGUGCAGACGUCAAGGUCCGCACCUGAAUCAAAUGACGCACCUGAAGAAUGAACACGGUGAGAAGUCUUGUCAAGAAGACUUAAAACAUUACACCCUCGCCGAAAGGUAAGAUUGGUAGUUAUCCAUAUUUAUCCUUUCUGCAUUCCCUUUUCCCUUUAAUUAUUUACUUUCCUUAAAUACAUUUUUGGUUAAUCAUGCUAUCUUGAAAAGAAAAUAAAAAUAUUAAAAAAUACUAAGCCCCAAGUGAGUAUACGAGUGGCAUAAAACCCAUAAGUACCUUCACUGUGGUGGCAUAAAAAUAAAAUAAAUAUUUCUUUUUUACUUUAUAAAAUAAAAAUAUAAAAACAGGGAGUAAUAUUUAUUGAGGAAGCUCAACGUGAUGAAGGCUAGAUAUUUAUGCUAACACUUAAUUAGUUCCACAAGCUUUGUUGUCUAUUUGAGCUCCACAGAAUUUAAGAAUCAAGAAGACUAGCAGACGGAGGACAUUCUAAUCGCUGUCAGAAUGCUGCUGACUUUUAAAUACACCUCUGCCACCUGCUAGCUACAUCAAGAGAAAUUACGUCAAAAUUCAGCUUGGGGGAGAGCACCCCUAUUUAUCUCGCUAAGUAUUUCUACCUAUCUUUAUACUUAUAUUAUAUUAGAAUAUUAAUAUACAUAAACUAUGAAAAACCAAAUAAAGAUUUUAUGCUUAUAUAUAUAUAUAUAUCUUCUCUUAGUUUGUUAAAUAAAUAAAUAAAUAAAUAAAUAAAGUUUGCUAUGAAUCUUAAUAAUAAAACUCUAGCAUGGAUAUGAUGAAUAGUUGCUCUGCCUAAUUUGCAAAUUUGAAGUUCUCUCUCAAGUUUAGACAUAACUGUUAUAAUUUAAAGCUUGCUCUAGAUCUAAACUUGUGGGAUGAAAACUUAACCUGAAAUCUAAGUUGUUAACGGAUAUGAUAUGGGAAGGUUGAGCUGCUGUUUAUCUGUUCCUAGAGAUGCUAGAAUUCUGGAGAAUUUUAUCUUUGAAAAUCUUUAAAAUAUUGCAUGAUGAGUUCCUGUAUGAUGAAGUUUAAAUUCCUACCACAGCCAUAUAUACAUGCUUGCUAGACUUUGAGCCACACAUUUAUUUACUGCUUAUGAGCAUUGAGUGUGGUCAAGCUGUGUAGACCCUUAGGAGCUUGUCAUGUGGUUAAAUCAAGAUUCACUUGCACGUUCACUCAUAUAUGCUACUUCUACUCCGGAAGUACCAUCCACAUAUAUCCAUCCAUUUCCAUCUCCAGUUUCACCCAAAAUCAUUCUACUCCUAAUCCGGGAAAGAAUAGCCAAAAACAUUUUCCUAUCCCUGUUAUUCCCUAUGAAAUAAAUGCUCCAGUUAUUUUGGUUACUACCACUUGCUAUAUUAUCUUAAGAGAUGAGUGCUCUGAAAAAAAAAAGAAGAAAAAAAAAGAGAGAAAAGAAAAAAAAAUAAAACGAGGAAAUAAAAAGGGGCAAGUGCCCGGAACCUCGAAAGAAAAGAAAAAGAGUGAGACGAGAAGUAAAAAUGGACAAGUGUCCGACAGUAGAAUUAGGGGUACAGGAUACCCAUCUGAGAGAAAAGAAAAAGAAGAGCAUCUCAUUCUCCUCAUAAAGUUUCAAAAAGCAAGGAAGGUAUGUAUCCCCUCAAAAGAGCAAAAGUAGAAUUAGACUUUCACCAUUGUUAUCACCAUCAUCACCAUACACUAUUCAUUUGCCACACAUGCACAUCUUGAUUUGUCUUAUUGAUUUGUUUCUUUGGAUCCAUGGUUUGACUAUACAAUAAAUGUCUUGUAAGUAUGUAUAUUUUAUCUCCCACCUAUGAGCUCCAGAUAUUAAAGCCUUAUUAGAGUAGGGUGAGAGAGAAGACAAUGUCACUAUCCCUUAUACCACAAAUACCACAUAUUUUGAGAGAAGGCAUAUACCAUCACUUCCUUGGUAAGGAUCUAGAAUUACCACAAAAGAGAGAUAUGAGAGAGUCAUACAAAGGAAUCUCUGUGUUUUAUUUGGAAAUCUGCAAAAACUCCAGAGCUAUAGCUGAUCAAGAAUAAGCGACAUGGCACUUGACUGGACUAUUCUAUCAUUUAACCACUCAAGAAAGAAGUGACUGUUACAAGUCCCAUGGUGAAAGGUAAAGUAAGUAAGUUUUAAGUCUUGACAGUUUACUCUAACUCAGAGAUGAGACCUCAUUUAAAAGCAUGUGUACCGUCAAUUUUUAAAGAUAUUGCAACAACUUAUGAUCCAUAGCUGAGUCUAUCCUUGCUCAGGGACGAGCAAGAGGUAAGCUUGGGGGAGUUUGUUGACGGUCCUUAAGUAUCAAAUUGAACUAUCAAAUAAACAAAGAAAAGGAUCCAAAUGAAAUCAACAUCGAGACUUAGGGUUUUAUCUGACAGAAUUCCAUGAGUUUUGGUGUUUGUCUAUUUCUGCAGGGGGUUAUCAGGAAAUAAGGAAGAAAGGCCCACACGUCGGGAUUACAUAGAGAUAUCAACGUGCCGUGCAAUUAUCUUACAUCUAGAAGACUCCAGAAGCCACGGGAAGGAAGCGGAGACCGAACGGAGUCAGGGACAGGGCGCCCGCCCAAGUCCUUAGGGCGCCCGCCCACCUUUUUCGGCCAAUCAUGCUCAAUCUCGCAGAUUAUGCUCCACCGACCUAAAGGAUCAAGAAUAACCGUUCAAUCAAUGUCGGUUUGAUCCGACGGCCCAGGUUCACUUGAGGGGACUAUAAAACCAGACCCCCUGGCCCCUGGAGGAGGCACCCCCUUGAUCAUUAUUCAUUAUUCAUAGACAGAGCAAAAGCUAGGGUUUAGAGAUGAGAGCUCUCCUCUCUUCUCUAAACUAGAGUAGAUCUAGAUAGUAGCGAGAUGGAGAGCGAAGGAGGAUUAGAGGAGAGGCCGGCCUGUCGGUUCUUCCUCCGGUUGUACUUCGCCAUGAUCAAGCUCUAAUCAAGCUUGCUCAUGGGAUGACUCUGGUAAUCUACUUCUAAUUCAUUAUGCAAUUACUAAUCAUGUAUGUUGUGGUUCACAACUCUUUUGAGUACUUCUAAUCUAUAGGACCCUAUAGGUUAGAGUUGUAGUAUAGGUGUAAGCGUGGUGCUUAGACCUAGAUUACUUGUGGAUAUCCCCUGACUAGCUGGAUCGUGUGGUAGGCCGCGUAGGUGACAGUUACGUUGGUCCCCUGUAGUCCAACUCUCGUUAGCAGGACGGGUAGGGUUUAUCGGCCUAAGGAUAAGCAUCCUUUGUGGUGUACUCUUAUCAUGUGGUUCGUCCCAGACAUAGACAUACCCCUUUGAAGUAGAGAAACCAUAGUUAUCCUCUGUAUUCUGCUACCAACGCCCAUAUACUAGAAUUGCUCUAUUCUCUAUUCCCAUAUUAUCACUCACUGUUAUCAUACCUUUAAUAUUGUUCUUAUUUAAUUCUAUCAUCUUUCCUAUUUACACCUAUCUAUCUAUCUUGGUUAAGUUAGAGUGUAGUUGGUUCUCCCGUUUCCCUGUGGAUACGAUAAAACCUUUAACCGGGUAAAAGCUUCAACGGUAUCCGUGCGCUUGCGGAUUAUCUGUGUGCGUAGAAAUACCAUAGUACACUCUAGUGCCAUGCUGGGGAUGACAACCUAGUAUUCAAGUGGUGUUAGCAAGUGUCAACACAAGCAAACUUAGCAAUCAUUGUGAGACAAGACUACGCCCAUGCAUAGUGAUAUUAGCAAGGAAUAUGAGAAACAUAGCAAUCACUCCCCUAUAAUAAUGUUGCUCUGCCAGCCCAAUACAUGAGAGGGGGACUAUAUAAGAAUCAAUGAAGCUGUCACUAUUACGAACCACCCCACGAUCUGGCAUUGGGUACAAUCGCAGAUAAAUAUGGUAUAAGCACCACGCCUACACAAUAUCUAUCAUUUACCCAUGGAUCCGAUGGAUAAACGCUAUACGAUCCUAAGCAAAGUCAUAAGAAAUAUAUUGAAGUAGAACAAAGUCAUAUUCAUAAUAUUGAAGAACAAAGAUAAUUAGAAAGCAAUUACAAGCACAAUUAGAGAAUUACCAAGAAUCCUCUUGACAGAUCCGGAAACCAAUCGAAGAUUGACUCCUUCUAGUUCUAAUCCUAUGUAGCUAUGCUAAUCUAGAUGUCUAAUUGAUGUGGUUGCUCUAAUCUUGAUCAGAGGCUUCUUCUCCCUUGAUGGAACAAUGAAUUAGGGUUGAGAGGCUCUCUCCUCCAGGGGCCAGGGGGUCUGGUUUUAUAGUCCCUUCAAGUGAAUAUGGGCCCUUGGAUCAAACCGACAUAGAUUGUAUGGUUUAGAUUCAUCCUUUAGGUCGGUGGAGAUCUCCCGCAAAGCAGAGUCCUGAUUGGACUCCUGGAGGGGGCGGGCGCCCAGUAGGACAGGGCGGGCGCCCUGUCUCUGGCCCCGUUUCGCCUCCGCUUCGGUCUCGUGGCUUCUGGAGUCUUCUAGAUGUAAGAUAAUUGCACAGCACGUUAAUAUCUUUACGUAAUCCCGACAUGUGGGCCUUUCUUCCAUAUGUCGUGAUAACCCCCUGCAAAAAUAGACAAACACCAAAACUCAUGGAAUUCUGUCAGAUAAAACCCUAAGUCUAGAUCUUGAUUUCAUUUGGAUCCUUUUCUUUAUUUAUUUGAUAAUUAAAUUUGAUACUUAAGGACCGUCAACAAACUCCCCCAAGCUUACCUCUUGCUCGUCUCUGAGUAAGGAUAGACUCAGCUAUGGAUCAUAAGUAGUUGCAAUAUAUUUAAAAAUUGACGCUACACAUGCUUUUAAAUAAGAUCUCAUCUCUGAGUUAGAGUAAACUGUCAAGACUUAAAACUUACUUACUUUACCUUCACCAUGGGACUUGUAACUGUCACUUCUGUCUUGAGUGGUUAAAAGAUAGAACUGUCUAGCCAAGUGCCAUGUCUCUUAUUCUUGAUCAGCUAUAGCUUUGGGGUUUUUGCAGAUUUUCAAAUAAAACUCAGAGAUUCCUUGUAUGAUUCUCUCAGGUCUCUCUUUUGUGGUAUUUUUGGAUCCUUACCAAGGCAGUGAUGGUAUAUGCCUUCUCUCAAAAUAUGUAGUAUUUGUGGUUUGAGACAUAGUGACAUUGCCUUCUCUCUCACCCUACUCUAAUAAGGCUUUAAUAUCUGGAGCUCAUAGGUGGGAGAUAAAGUAUACAUACUUAUAAGACAUUUAUUGCAUAGUCAAACCAUGGAUCCAAAGUAACAAGUCAAUAAGCCAAAUCAAGAUGUGCAUGUGUGGCGAAUGAAUGGUGUAUGGUGAUGAUGGUGAUAACAAUGGUGAAAACAAUGGUGGUGGAAGUCUAAUUCUACUUUGCUCUUUGAGGGGAUACAUACCUUCCUUGCUUUUUGAAACUUUAUGAGGAGAAUGAGAUGCUCUAUAUUUUUCUUUUCUCUCAGGUGGGUAUCUUGCACCCCUAAUUCUACUGUCGGACACUUGUCCAUUUUUACCUCUCGUCUCACUUUUUCUUUUCUUUUGAGGUUCCGAGCACUUGCUCCUUUUUAUUUCCUCGUAUCUUUUUUUUAGAGGAUUCAUCUCUUGAGAUAAUAUAGCAAGUGGUAGUAACAAGAUAACUUGAGUAUUUAUUUCACAAGGGGAAAACAGAAAUAUUUUUGGUUACUCUCUCCCGGAUUAGGAGUAGAAUAUUUUUGGUUGGUUCUGGAGAUGGAAUGGGUGGAUAUAUGUGGAUGGUACUUCCGGAGUAGAAGUAGCAUAUAUGAGUGAACGUACAAGUGAAAUCUUGAUUUAACCACAUGACAAGCUCCUAAGGGUCUACACAGCUUGACCACACUCAAUGCUCAUAAGCAGUAAAUAGUAAAUGUGUGGCUCAAAGUCUAGCAAGCAUGUAUAUAUGGCUUUGGUAGGAAUUUAAACUCUCAUCAUACAGGAACUCAUCAUGCAACAUUUUAAAGAUUUUCAAAGAUAAAAUUCUCCAGAAUUCUAGCAUCUCUAGGAACACAUAAACAGCAGCUCAACCUUCCCAUAUCGUAUCCGUUAACAACUUAGACUUCAGAUCAAAUUUUCAUCCCACAAGUUUAGGUCUAGAGCAAGCUUUAAAUUAUAACAGUUAUAUCUAAACUUGAGAGAGAACUUAAAAUGUGCAAAUUAGGCAGAGCAACUAUUCAUCAUAUUCAUGCUUAAAUUUUAUUUAGAUACAGAUUAGCAUAGCCACUUUAUUUAUUUAUUAAACACACUAAGCAAAAGACAUAUAUAUAAGCAUAAAAUCUUUAUUUGGUUUUCCAUAGUUUAUGUGUAUUUAUAUUCUAAAAUAAUAUAAGUAUAAAGAUAGAUAGAAAUACUUAUCGAGAUAAAUGGGGGUGCUCUCCCUCAAGCUGAAUUUUGACGUAAUUUCUCUUGAUGUAGCUAGCAGGUGGCAGAGGUGUAUUUGAAAGUCAGCAGCAUUCUGACAGCGAUUAGAAUGUCCUCCGUCUGCUAGUCUUCUUGAUUCUUAAAUUCUGUGGAGCUCAAAUAGACAACAAAGCUUGUGGAACUGAUUAAGUGUUAGCAUAAAUAUCUAGCCUUUAUUAUCUUGAGACUCCUUAAUAAUUAUUACUCCCUGUUUUUAUAUUUUUAUUUUAUAAAGCAGAAAAAUAAUUAUUUUAUUUUUAUACCACCACAGUGAAUGUACUUAUGGGUUUUAUGCCACUCGUCUACUCACAUGGGGCUUACUGUUUUUCACAUUUUUAUUUUCUUUUUUAGGAUAAUACGAACAAGAUUAACUAAGUAAACUAUUUGAAAUAAUUGAAAUGAUUAAAAGGGAAAGGAUAACUUCCAAGUUUACCUCUUGGCAAGGCGUUCGGUGUUUUUAAGUCCUCCGAACGGGACUCUCCUAUUUCUUAAUCGUCCUGAGGUUCGUUGGGUGGCGUAGUCGGUACUUCCGGCAGCGCCUCGUCUUCAUGUAUAGUUAUCUUCAUUUUCCACACCUGACUCGGUGCUUCAAUCUCCUCUAGAUAAUUUUGUUUAAACUCUAUGUCUUCUGACCUUACAACUUCUCCUUCAUAGUCUGCCCAUCCAUCCUUGAUGAUCUGCCUCCUCGGGUUGCGGUUGCGUCUCUUUCUAACCUGCUUAGAUUCUUCAACAAUAUAGUUAGGGUCAGUAAAAUAACGGCGUACCUUCUCUGAGGGGAAGUGCAUAUGGACUUCUCCGGUUCCAAUGUAGAUAAUUGUUUUAACGGUGCCGAGGAACGGUCUUCCAAGGAUGAUGGGUGGAUCGUACUCGUCUUCUCCCAUGUCAACAACUUGAAAGUCUGUGUAGACAAAGUGAUCGUCUAUUUUGACUGGGACAUCAGAUACUAUUCCUUGAACUUCUCGAAAUGUCUGAUCUGCCAUCUGGAGCUGAAUGUAUGUUGGUCUUAGUGGCAUGGUUCCGAACAAGAGCCGAUAGGUGACUGCGGCCAUUAUGUUGACGCCUGAUCCGGUGUCGCAAAUCGUCUUGUAGAAGUUGUAUCCAUUUAUGGAGCAGUAGAUGCUUGGCAUUCCUGGGUCGUCCUUCUUAGUCAAAAACGGUGACUUAAGUUGGUGAUCUUGGCCUCCAUGAACUACAGUGACCAUCUUAGCUGACUCGGUCCACACUUGCUUGUUCCUGUUUCUCCUGUUGGUCCUCUUCUUUGAUUUACGUCUGGAUUGAUCUGGAAUUUGUGUAGUCUUGUUCUUGAAGAAAAAUGUCUCCUUCUUCCCUUUGACGUAGAAACUGAUCUUGGCAGCACUGGCGUAGAUGAUAGCUGCCGUGGUAUUCAAGAAUGGCCUCCCUAAGAUGAUAGGUGCUCUCUCAUCAUUUCCGGUCUCUACCACUACGAAGUCUGCUGGGGC
rnacentral:lncRNA from 1 species